AUGGGGGGAGCGGGGUGGCUCCGGGUGGCCGCGGCGGCUGGCUGCGCGGCGGUGACGUGCGCAUUAGCGACGGCGAUGGUGGCGCAGAGGGUGGUGGCCUGGAGGCGCUGGCUCCGGGCCAUGGCGGUGCUGCGUGACGUAGAGGAGAGCUUCGCCACGCCCACGGAGCGGCUGGAGCGGGUCGUCAACUCCCUGGCUGUCGAGAUGUUCGCUGGGCUCGCGUCCGAGGACGCCAGCAAGGUCCGGAUGCUGCACACCUGCGUCGACUUGCUCCCGGAUGGGAGUGAAGAAGGCAUAUAUUACGCCGUUGAUAUUGGAGGAACGGGCUUUAGGUUCUUGAAAGUGGAACUUGGUGCAGGGUCCACAAUCAUUAAUCAAAAGAUCGAGCAUCAACCGGUCAAAAAAGAAUUGAUGGAAGGCACAAGCGAGGAUUUUUUCAAUUCCAUUGCCUCGACACUAAAGAAUUUCAUUGAAAGAGAGGGGGACGAAGGAAGGGCACUUGGUUUUACAUUUUCUUUUCCAAUGAGACAAUUUUCCAUAGCCUCUGGGUCCUUAAUACGGUGGACUAAAGAAUUUUCAAUUGAAGAGGCUAUUGGGCAAGAUGUUGCUCAGUGCUUAAACGAAGCACUUGAAAGGAAUGGACUAAAUUUGAAGGUCAAUGCAUUGAUGAAUAAUACCGUGGGCACACUAGCUAUGGGGCAUUAUUAUGAUGAGGAUACAAUAGCUGCGGUGAUUAUUGGAGCUGGCACCAAUGCUUGCUAUAUUGAACGUAAUGAGGCAAUCACAAAAUGCCAGCGCCUUCUUACUAACUCCGGACAAACGGUUGUAAAUGUGGAAUGGGGGAGCUUCCGUCCUCCGCAAAUACCAUUAACUCCUUAUGACAUAUGCUUCUAUAAUGAGACACCAAAUUACUAUGACCAGGGUUUUGAGAAAAUGAUAUCGGGUGUGUAUCUUGGGGAGAUUGCAAGACUGGUGUUCCAUAAAAUGGCUCAAGAAUCGGAUGUAUUUGGUACUGAUGUUGAUGGUUUAGCUAUCCCUUUCAUCUUAAGCACUCCAUGUCUAUCUGCUAUCCGUGAGGAUGAUUCUCUUGACUUGAAGGAAGUCGGAAGAAUACUGGAAGAACAUCUGAAGAUACACAAUGUUCCUCUGAAGACUCGCAGACUGGUGCAGAGAGUGUGCGACAUCAUCACCCAAAGAGCCGCACGCCUAGCGGCAGCUGGAAUUGUUGCAAUACUACAAAAACUUGGUCGUGAUGGAACGCUUUGUGGCACCACCAGAGUCCGAAGUAUAGCGGGUGUACCAAAGAGAUCAGUCAUUGCAAUCGAGGGCGGCCUCUACCAAGAAUAUUCAUUAUUCAGAGAAUAUCUGAAUGAAGCCGUAUUGGAGAUCCUUGGGGAGGAGAUCGCAGCCACUGUCGUUCUUAAAGUGGUGGAGGAGGGUUCCGGGGUGGGGGCUGCUCUCAUCGCAGCAGCAUAUUCGUCGACUAGAAAGAACUCCAUAUAA
rnacentral:rRNA from 1 species